UACGAAGGGGGCUAGCGUUGUUCGGAAUUAUUGGGCGUAAAGCGCACGUAGGCGGUUCGUUAAGUCGGAUGUGAAAGCCCUCGGCUCAACUGAGGAAGUGCACCCGAAACUGGCGAGCUUGAGUACGAAAGAGGAUCGCGGAAUUCCCGGUGUAGAGGUGAAAUUCGUAGAUAUCGGGAGGAACACCGGUGGCGAAGGCGGCGAUCUGGGUCGAUACUGACGCUGAGGUGCGAAAGCGUGGGGAGCAAACAGG
rnacentral:rRNA from 1 species